AUCGACAGAGUGAAAGAAAGGAAAGAAAAGAAACAAACGGACAAGAGGAAGAGGAAAGUUGGUUCUCCCUUUUCCUUGAUGCCUCUUGUCUCUCUGCCUGUCUGAGAAUAAAUGGAUUUUUCAGAAGAA
rnacentral:ribozyme from 11 species